UGGGGAAUAUUGGACAAUGGGCGAAAGCCUGAUCCAGCCAUGCCGCGUGUGUGAAGAAGGUCUUCGGAUUGUAAAGCACUUUAAGUUGGGAGGAAGGGCAGUAAGCGAAUACCUUGCUGUUUUGACGUUACCGACAGAAUAAGCACCGGCUAACUCUGUGCCAGCAGCCGCGGUAAUACAGAGGGUGCAAGCGUUAAUCGGAAUUACUGGGCGUAGCGCGCGUAGGUGGUUCGUUAAGUUGAAUGUGAAAGCCCCGGGCUCAACCUGGGAACUGCAUCCAAAACUGGCGAGCUAGAGUAGGGCAGAGGGUGGUGGAAUUUCCUGUGUAGCGGUGAAAUGCGUAGAUAUAGGAAGGAACACCAGUGGCGAAGGCGACCACCUGGGCUCAUACUGACACUGAGGUGCGAAAGCGUGGGGAGCAAACAGG
rnacentral:rRNA from 1 species